ensembl:lncRNA
CGGGCAUCUCCCUCCCUCUAUACAGGGCCUCUUCCUCCUCCCCACUGUCUGGAAGGCCCCAACAGGUUCCUCAUUUCAACAGUGGCUUCCUCUCUAGGCCAGGCCCUGUGGCGCCUGGGUGCAGCCUGAUGGCCCCAAGCCUCACAUCUGUCCACAAGCCACCUCCAUCUUUGUCUAUACCAAAAACACCAUGCCCACUGCCCUCAUGUCAUAGGCCAAACCACAGAGGGCUGACUAAGGCUCAACUGUGUGUUCAGCGCCCUGGGUCUGGAGGGGUGGGGACGCAGGCGGAGAUGUGGCCCCUGUCCCGGCCCUUUUCUGCUUUCCAUACAGGGCCCUGCACAUGAGGUGGACUGGCACCACACGUCGGGGUGUGAACCCAGGUCAGAGAAGGGAGGUGAGCGUGGGCAGCAGGGCUGUGAUAGGUUCGGGGCAGGACGUCCGGGUCCUCGGGUUGGAGCAUUGUGGCUAGGCACUCAGGGAUCCUCAUCUGGGCCCUGAGGGAGCCAGCCCUCCCUCUGCCCAGGAGCUGUGGGUAGGCUGACAGCUCCCGCAACGAGGGGGUCCUGGCCAACAGGAUGAGGUAAGACUGCUGCAAGGUGAGGCUGAAGAGUGCAGUGGCCAGAGCAUGGACUGUGGCCCAGAAUUCUUGGGCUACAACAACCUGCUGCCUGUGUGACCUUGAGAAAGUGACUUCACUUCCCUGGGCCUCAGUUUUCUCAGCAGUAAAAUGGGAUGACCUUACCUUAGACUCUAAGGCUUAACGUGGGGGUUUUCAGCCUAGACAUUAUUGACAUUUGGGGCUGGGUGAUUCUCUGUUAUGGGGCCUUUCCGAUGCAUUGUAGAGUAUUUAGCAGCAUCUCUGGACCCUACUCAUUAGAUCCCAGUAGCAACUCCCUGUCCCCAGUUGUGACAAUCAAAAUGUCUCCAGACAUUGCCAAGUGUCCCCUGGGGGCAAAACUGAGCCUGGAGUGAGAACUACUGGUGUUAUGUACUACUUACAUGAGGCAAUAUAUUGAAUGCACUUAGACAGGGCCUGAUUCAGAGGAAACACUCAAUGAUUCUUAGUGUUAUUGUUGCAAGCAGGUUACAGAGGCAAAAACAGAACAAAAACACGAGACAAAGACAGAAGAACAUGUCUAAUGUUCUUGGUUACUAGAGAGUAGGGUCCGGGAUGAAGGGGAGAAAAGACUGCUUUUUAAAAACUCCAUCGUUGGAGCCGGGUGUGGUGGCUUUCGCCUAUAAUCCUGGCACUUUGGGAGGCUGAGGUGGGGGAAUCACCUGAGGUCAGGAGUUCGAGACCAGCCUAGCCAACAUGGUGAUACGCUGUCUCUACUAAAAAUACAAAAAUUAGCUGGGCGAACCCAGGAGGCGGAAGUUGCAUUGAGCCGAGACAACGCCAUUGCACUCCAGCCUGGGCGACAAGAGCAAAACUCCGUCUCAAAAAAAAAGAAUUUUAUUUUUGAGGCUGAGCAUGGUGGCUCAUGUCUGCAAUCUCAGUACUUCAGGUGGCCGAGAUGGGAGGAUCACUUGAGCCCAGGAGUUCAAGACCAGCCUGGGCAAGAUGGUGAGACCCUGUCGCUACGAAAAAUAAAAAAAUUAGCUGGGCAUGGUGGUGCACACCUGUGGUCCUAGCUACAUGGGAGGCUGAGGCAGGGUGAUCUUUUGACCCCAGAAGAUCAAGGCAGUAGUGAGCCCUGAUUGUGCCACUGCACUCCAGCCUGGGUGUCAGAGCUAGACCCUAUCUAAAAAAAAAAAAAAAAA